rnacentral:rRNA from 1 species
AUUGAACGCUGGCGGCAUGCCUUACACAUGCAAGUCGAACGGCAGCGCGGGGCAACCUGGUGGCGAGUGGCGAACGGGUGAGUAAUGUAUCGGAACGUACCUUUCAGUGGGGGAUAACGUAGCGAAAGUUACGCUAAUACCGCAUAUUCUGUGAGCAGGAAAGCAGGGGAUCUUAGGACCUUGCGCUGAUUGAGCGGCCGAUAUCAGAUUAGCUAGUUGGUGAGGUAAAGGCUCACCAAGGCGACGAUCUGUAGCGGGUCUGAGAGGAUGAUCCGCCACACUGGAACUGAGACACGGUCCAGACUCCUACGGGAGGCAGCAGUGGGGAAUUUUGGACAAUGGGCGCAAGCCUGAUCCAGCCAUGCCGCGUGAGUGAAGAAGGCCUUCGGGUUGUAAAGCUCUUUCAGCCGGGAAGAAAACGCAUGGGUUAAUACCCUGUGUGGAUGACGGUACCGGAAUAAGAAGCACCGGCUAACUACGUGCCAGCAGCCGCAGUAAUAC